GUUUAAUAAUCCUGAUACCAGCGGACUCCAUCAUGAACAACAUGCAUAGAUGUCAAGUCUGCUCUUCCAACUCAUUAGGCACACUGAUUAUGAUUGAGUUGCACCUUGUUUCAAACCAAUCAGUGCCAGAACAGAAUGGGAUUAGAUGUGAGUCCUUCUUUAAAGCUUCAGCAGCGUUCCUCAUUUCAGCAGCUGUAGUUGUAGUGGCAGGCUCACUGGCGUACUACAGUUGCUCGCCAGCUCAACCAUGGCUUUAAUAAUGCGGGUACUUCAAUUGUCUCUACUCCUUGAUGUGGGGUGUCAAGUACAUGCUUACAGGAUCGGAUAUGCUGAGCCGGAGAUGCCUACGUAUGGGCUGCAGCAGCCUCCUAGCUACAACCCAGCAGCAACCUCCUAGCUACAAGCCCCACCCCCAGCAGCAGCAUCCUAGCUACAAGCCCCAGCAGAAGCAUCCUAGCUACAAGCCGCAGCAGCAGCAGCAGCAUCCUAGCUACAAGCCCCAGCAGCAGCAGCAGCAUCAUCCUAGCUACAAGCCCCAGCAGCAGCAGCAGCAUCCUAGCUACAAACAGCAGCAGCAGCAUCCUAGCGACAAGCCCCAGCAGCAGCAGCAACAUCCUAGCUACAAGCCCCAGCAGCAGCAGCAACAUCCCAUUUACAAGCCCCAGCAGCAGCAGCAUCCCAUCCCAUUUACAGCAGCAGCAGCAGCCAUUUACAGCAGCAGCAUCCCAUCCCAGCCCCAGCAGCAGCACAAGCAGCAGCAGCAGCAGCAACAUCCCAGCUACAAGCCCCAGCAGCAGCAGCAGCAGCCAAGCCAAGCCGCAGCAGCAGCAGCAACAUCCCAGCAGCAGCAGCCUAGCAGCAAGCCCCAGCAGCAGCAGCAUCCUAGCUACAAGCCCCAGCAGCAGCAGCAGCAUCCAAGCUACAAGCCCCAACAGCAACUCAGAAGUUUGCAUUCUGUACUUUUGCUUCAUUGAAAAUUCCAUCAAAUCCUUCAAUGAUAUAAAGUUCUCAAUUGUGUUCCUGCCAUGACAUGGUUCUACUGUCCAAAUUUGACAAAAGAAUAAAAAUAUCACUUUUAAAUGGUCAAAUUGGUCAUUGGCUAGGCUGAAUGCCAGCAGCAAAUGCAGAAACCCAUUUUGAUGCCUUUUCAGGAGCCGCUGCUUUGGUCUAAUGCAACGCUACAGUUCAGUGUGGAGUCUUUUUAUUAGAUCUUUAGUAUCUAGCUAUCAGCUUCCUGAACACCAGCAGAAGCCCCCAAACUACGAGCAGCAGCCUCCUUAUUUCAAGACGUCAUCUGAAUGUGUUUUGAAUUCACCUCUUUAAAAUUCACGUCUGGCAAUACAGAAAUUCAAACUAAUUUAGAUACAAAAGGUUGCACUACUCGACAAGUGGUCAAAUGACUGAAGAACCAGAACAUUCAAUGGCCUGGCCCACUGUUCCACCUCUAGCAGGAGGCUUCUCCUCUCACCUGGCUGCCCAUACCAUGUUAAAAGGGUCCUGGAGAUGGUCUGGUCACAUAAGCUCUUCCUCUACGAUGUCCAGAGCCCCCCACUCACUCUGAAACACAACACUCAACACCAGGAACUACAGUCAAUAUUAGCUAUUUGUAAUACUCAAAAUAUUACAACCAGGAGCAGGAUACUCUCAACUAGACCAAGGAAGAAUAAGCCCUAGUUAACCACUAGGUGGGGGGUGGAUUAACCAAUACUAGCCACACUUAUCCACAUCUACUUUGCUACCAAACACUGCGUGGAUCUCUGACACCAUAGGGUUUUCCCGCUCUAUCAGAGUGCUUCCAGUGCAAUCAUACAUGUUUAAUAAUCCUGAUACCUGCGGACUCCAUCAUGAACAACAUGCAUAGAUGUCAAGUCUGCUGUUCCAACUCAUUAGGCACACUGAUUAUGAUUGAGUUGCACCUUGUUUCAAACCAAUCAGUGCCUGAUCAGAAUGGGAUUAGAUGUGAAUCCUUAUAUAAAGCUUCAGCAGCAUUCCUCAUUUUACUGGAGUUGUAGUGGCAGGCUCACAGGCGUACUACAGUUGCUCGCCACCUCAACAAUGGCUUUAAUAAUGAGGGUACUUCAAUUGUCUCUACUCCUUGAUGUGGGCUGUCAAGUACAUGCUUACAGGAUCGGAUAUGCUGAGCCGGAGAUGCCUACGUAUGGGCUGCAGCAGCCUGCUAGCUACAAGCCACAGCAACCUCCUAGCUACAAGCCGCAGCCCCAGCAGCAGCAGCAUCCUAGCGACAAGCCGCAGCCCCAGCAGCAGCAACAUCCUAGCGAUCAGCCCCAGCAGCAGCAACAUCCUAGCUACAAGCCCCAGCAGCAGCAGAAUCAUCCUAGCUACAAGCCCCAGCAGCAGCAGCAACAUCCUAGCUACAAGCCCCCAGCAGCAACAUCCAGCAGCAGCAGCAGCAGCAGCUAGCAACAAGCCCCAGCAGCCUUCCAGC
ensembl:lncRNA